AUCCUAAGAUAAAUGAUAGAACAAAGUGUCUUACAUUGACUAAUUAAUACAGAAUGACUGUGAAACUUUUUCAUCUAAAUUCUUCUUAAGUCUGACUCCCUGCUAGUAGAACUAUCAGCUUCUAAACAAAGGAAGGCAAGUAUUUUUAUCUAUGUUUCAUGUGAUUUUGCUCAAAUUAUAAAGAAUCAAUCCACCUUAACAUGUCAAAAAAUCUUUUUUUUUUUUUUUUUUUUUUUAUUUUAUGUAUACAAAAUAAACACAUGGAUGUUUUUAAUUAUAUUUAUACAGACACCAUGAAGUCCAUUAUAUUGACUACAAGUAUGCCAAAAUAUGCGGUGCCACUGUUUUCAGGGAUACUUAUAAAGAAUGAUUGGAAAAAAAAAAAAAAGUUAUUUCUGAAAAAGAGCAUACAAAUAAAUAGACCAGAAAAUCUUUAAAGUCCUUCUUUAGUAGCUAGGGAUUUUUAAAAAGUCCUUAAAGAAAAUAUGAACAUAUUUUGAAUGCCUUCAAAUAUUUUUGAGAAUGAUGCCCAGAAAGAGUGCAGCAUUUGCCAAAGAAAACAUGCCACCAAUAUCAGGACAGAAGGAUAGAAGGUAGAACAAUAUCAAGCAAUAAUUUCUACAUCUGUUAAUGUAAUUCUGAAGUAUUAUUAAGAUUUUACGUGACUAAAUAUUAACAGUUGCUAGGAAAAGGGGAAAUCUGAAGAAAAGCUGUGCAACAUUGUACAAUAUUUUCUCCAGACUUCUAAGUAUAGUUUCCUUCUGUUGCUAAAAUGUAUUUUCGCUUGGUUUUACUAGAAUAAAUGGGAAUUUUUCUACUUUUUCUGUAUCGGAGUUGUAGACAGGAGUAGCUGUAGAGAGCUUCACAAAACAUGAGAAUGCAGGGCAUUUUACCAUUAAGGAAAACAAAACAAAAGAAAACAAAACAAAACAAAUAAAAAUGUAUCAAAAGAAGUAUCCAUUCCAAUUGGGAUACAUCUAUAAUUUUCACAAGACAUUAAUAUUGGUUUUACAUUUUUCCUCCAUGAAAGCCUUCUGGCAGCAUCUCAAAAUCAAAUCAUAGGAUAAUGAUUCAGAACUCCUUU